UGUGGCAUCGGCUGAUGUAAAAAGCUCUUCAUAAAUACAUUUUAUUUGAUUGAACUCCAAGUGAGGGAGUGAUAAUUCUGGAUGAAUAGGCUGGUGUGGCAGUCAAGGGGGGACUGGCAUGACACCGCGGGUCGACAAGCGCCAACAACAGGUACGACAAGCUAAUUAGCUACAGUAGCUAUGUGUAGCUAUGAGCUAACCUCUGAGGUAACGGGAUAGACCCGAAGCUAACACACAAGGAUGAAAAUGCCCGGCAAAAGCAAUAACAGUUAGCUAGUAUGGGCAGCACAAUUAAGAGAGAGAGGGGGAGUAGACUCGUAAAACAGUAAUUCAAAGGGGAUUAAUAGCAAUCUUGUAAUGUAAAAUACAUAAACAUGAGAGUAAAGAAAAAGACAGUAUGUCACACCACACUGCCUUUUAUAGUGACAGGUCACGUGGGUACAGUAACGGGUGUGGCGUGACUGUAAACAUCUUUGAUAUAAUUAAGCAUCUCAAUCACAUCGCCUAAAGGGGAAGGAGUUCCCAUAGGUCAUUUGGCGACCUGUUAUGAAAACGAAAGACGAUAGUAUCUUCUGGCCGGGAGAGUUUUGACGACGCUUGUUCUGAACGUUAAAACGCAUCGCUUGUGGUACGUUUUUUGGAAACAUAAGGAACAAAUCUUUCAUUUCAGCUAGAAAUCUUUCUUUUUUUAAAUUACUACACAGUACUACACACCUUUAUAGGGGUAGUGUUGCCACACAACCAUGUCUCCAUGUUACAGCCCCUGUUAACAUUUUAACAGGGUUGAAGACAGAUUGAAGACAGAAGCGAGCACCUGUGCUAAUUAGCUAUCUAGCGUGCUUUGAACACCUGUGUGUAAGCAUAACUGGGAAGGAAGUGUAGUUAGUCAACUGGAGGCACACACAGCGUAUGAAUCUGUGCACAUCUGCUACAGUAAGUGUAUCUAUUUUAUUUGGAAGAUUCUUUCUCGUUGAUAUGUUAAGAGUAUUAAGCCAGUAACCAAAAGGUUGCUGGUUCGAAUCCCUGAGCCAACUAGGUGAAAAAUCUGUAGAUUUUCCCUUUAGCAAGGCAAUUAUUCUUAAUUUCUCCUGCAAGUCACUCUGGAUGAGAGUGUCUACAAAAUGACUAAAAUGUCAAAUGUAAUAUAUGAAAGAUAAGGACAUAUUUAUCUGGCUAGAAUAGCCAGUAAUGUGAAUUCAAGGGCUGUGAUUGGUUUGACACGACCUCUUUGCAGCCAUCAGACCUAUUCCACCAACACUGUUGGUGUCAGGGUAAGACAACUAUGCAUACCAUAAGGCUCCAAACAAGACUCAUGUGAAUAAUGUAGCUGCAUGUAUGUGUUACAUUCAUAGCAUACAUGACUGUCAACUGAACAGGAACAUUUUGAGCUUACUUGGCUAGGUAGCUGUAGAUCAAUAAUUAAGGAAAUAACUAUUCUUUCUCUUUUCUGCUCAAUCACAGGUGCUAUAUGAUGGAGAGUGCCCAAUAUGUUUCGCCCAUGACCAGGGAAAGUAAACUUUGUGGACAUCUCCCUGCAAGGAUACAAUGAAGAGAAGCAUGAAGAGAGCAGCUAUGAGAUGGCCAUGGGCGAGAUGCACGGGAUUGAUGAGAAGAACGAGAUUCACUGUGGAGUCCCAGCCUUUACAGUCAUGUACAGUGUAUUGGGUUUAGGCUGGCUGGGCUGCUUCAUGUCAUACGUUAGACCAGUCAUCGACAAAGCCUACUCAACUUUGCCAAAAACUGCCUGAAAUGGACCGGACCAGAAGACUGUACUACAGGACGCUGUCUAAAGAAACAACAUUGACCAGGCAGUGCGUUUAAGAAUUGAACCAUACACAGACGAGACUGUGACAGCAUCUCUUUACAGAGAGGCAUGUCAACUCUUUCUAAUCUUCAGAGUCCUUGCCACCUGUUUCCUCAGCAAGGAGUCACUGUACAUCAUGUGCCUGACAAAGACAUCUACUCCAUGUACUCCACAGCCUGUAGUCAGUCAGUGCUGACAGACAGGAUAGAGCGCAAAAUAUUAAGGAAGAAAGGAGGACAACAGGAGGAGAUUGACUCUCCAAGUCUGACUCAUGUCAUAUUUGCUGAUAAUGUAGUUUCAGAGGACGGAGGCCUCAUCCUAAACAACCCAUGUGCCCUCACUGUCCACGAGAACUGUCUCAUUUAGCCCAACCAGCCUUACCAGUGCGUCCUGUUGCUAGGCACCAGUCGCUAUGACAACACUAAACGUCCAGGCACCUCCACUAGCCUGCGGGCCAAGAUCAACCACCUGAUCUGCAGCGCCACAGACACUGUGGGUGUCCACUCCCUCCUGUAUAACCUGCUGGCCCCAGACGUCUACUUCAUGUUCAACCCCAAGCUGAGUGCCGAUGUGUCCCAAGAUGAGAGCAGUUUCAGGGCUGUGGAGCAGCUGUUGGGUCUAAGAGUAAUAGGUCAUAGUCUGGGUCACACACAGGCACAGUCCCAACUCGGCUCUGGAGGAGAGUUGUAGGGUUUUGUUACUCAGUGCCUGUAGUUUGAUAUCCUUUUUUAAGCUUUGAAAAAAACUGCACAUACAGUGGCAAGAAAAAGUAUGUGAACCCUUUAGAAUGACCUGGAUUUCUGCAUAUUAAUUGGU